rnacentral:piRNA from 4 species
GUUUAAUAUCUGAUACGUCCUCUA